rnacentral:tRNA from 1 species
GUACUUCUAGCUCAUUGGUAGAGUGUGUGGCUAGCAUGCAUGAAGUCUUGGAUUUGAACCCCAGAAGUACA